AACGAACGCUGGCGGCAUGCCUAACACAUGCAAGUCGAACGAGACCUUCGGGUCUAGUGGCGCACGGGUGCGUAACGCGUGGGAACCUGCCCUUAGGCUCGGAAUAACUCCCCGAAAGGGGUGCUAAUACCGGAUAAUGUCUUCGGACCAAGGAUUUAUCGCCGUUGGCUGGGCCCGCGUUGGAUUAGCUAGUUGGUAGGGUAAAAGCCUACCAAGGCGACGAUCCAUAGCUGGUCUGAGAGGAUGAUCAGCCACACUGGGACUGAGGCACGGCCCAGACUCCUAAGGGAGGCAGCAGUGGGGAACAGUGGACGAUGGGCGAAAGCCUGAUCCAGCAAUGCCGCGUGAGUGAUGAAGGCCUUAGGGUUGUAAAGCUCUUUUACCCGGGAUGAUAAUGACAGUACCGAGAGAAUAAGCUCCGGCUAACUCCGU
rnacentral:rRNA from 1 species